AUUAACGAUGAUGAGCUAUUUAUACAGACACAGACCUGUAAUGAUUUGCGAAAAUGAUCGCAAUUUUAUGAACAUCUAAGGGACUGAGUUUUU
rnacentral:snoRNA from 1 species